AUUAGCCUGGCUCUUUAGGAGAUCCAGAAUGAAGAAUAUGGAAAUAAUUGACUAGUCAGGGAAGAAGAAACGGCCAAACCAAACACAGAUGGAGAAGCAGAGACACCACGUUAAGGAAACACAGAGUGUUCACCCUCUAGGUCGCUUCAGAUGUUCAUGAGCAAACUGAGUUAGAGAAAUUGGGUGUGAUGUGAUCAUAGCCUCCUGGCUACACUUACAAACUGGAGCAACUUUAUAGUCAACGCCCAUCUGGCCUGCGCUGCCUCAAAAACACCACCUGAGUCAGAUCUUACCUGGGACACUUUAUGGACAGGUGCUCUCUAUUUGCAGAGCUGACACACUGGCAGCGAACCAUCCAAAUGUUUAAUGAAUGACAACACAUGGCGAGCAUGACCCGGAGCAGAGCCUGAGGCCACAGGAGAAGGAAGGACUGACAGGGCAGUAGUCCCCAUGGCAGGUGUUACAUGUAAAGAAGACACUGAGUGACGUUGCACAGAAAAACCAUAGCUCCCAUGAGUCUGCACAUCAUAAAGACAGAGCAAGGACCUGUCUCCAGUUCAGACUCUGAUGUUAUCAGUAUCGUCCCCAGAGUGUACAACAUCAAGAGUGAGUCCUAAUGUCCAGUGCAGACGUCGGGUGAUGAUGACCUAGGUCCCUCAGUUGUAACAGGCGCACCACCUGCUCGAGGAAGUUGAUCACCAGGAGGCUGUGCCUGAGUGGGGGCAGGGGGCAUAUGGGAAAUCUCUGUACUUUCCCCUCAAUUUUGAAACCAAAACUCC
ensembl:lncRNA